AACGAACGCUGGCGGCAUGCCUAACACAUGCAAGUCGAACGAGACCUUCGGGUCUAGUGGCGCACGGGUGCGUAACGCGUGGGAACCUGCCCUUAGGUUCGGAAUAACUCCCCGAAAGGGGUGCUAAUACCGGAUAAUGUCUUCGGACCAAAGAUUUAUCGCCUUUGGAUGGGCCCGCGUUGGAUUAGCUAGUUGGUAGAGUAAAAGCCUACCAAGGCGACGAUCCAUAGCUGGUCUGAGAGGAUGAUCAGCCACACUGGGACUGAGACACGGCCCAGACUCCUACGGGAGGCAGCAGUGGGGAAUAUUGGACAAUGGGCGAAAGCCUGAUCCAGCAAUGCCGCGUGAGUGAAGAAGGCCUUAGGGUUGUAAAGCUCUUUUACCCGGGAUGAUAAUGACAGUACCGGGAGAAUAAGCUCCGGCUAACUCCGUG
rnacentral:rRNA from 1 species